AGGGAGCAAAAAUCUGUGGCUCACCUCUUCUACAAGUGCCGAUACACGUUGAGGCUCUGGAAAAUGCUGAAAGUAUGGCUACGAUUGGAUACCAUGGAUAUUACUACUUGGUCGGGGGAGCGAUCGAUCAAAGAUUGGUGGACAAGGAUGUCUAGCGCAACGAGGGUGCAUAGGAAAGCUAUGGCCUCCCUCACAAUGCUUGUUAGCUGGACCAUAUGGAAUGAGAGGAACGCGAGGAUUUUUCGCAACAAGUUCAACCCACCCAACAUCCUGUUUAUCAACAUAAAGAGCGAGGCUAAACUUUGA
rnacentral:rRNA from 1 species